CAAACGACUCUCGGCAACGGAUAUCUCGGCUCUCGCAUCGAUGAAGAACGUAGCGAAAUGCGAUAGUUGGUGUGAAUUGCAGAAUCCCGUGAACCAUCGAGUCUUUGAACGCAAGUUGCGGCCGAAGCCAUUAGGUCGAGGGCACGUCUGCCUGGGCGUCACGC
rnacentral:rRNA from 1 species